UCCUGUUUAAACACACAGCUGUCGAUGCACCAGCUAGUUCACACCACCAACACUCACCGACAGAGACCCACACUCAGGAUUAUUUUCCUGCUGUAGCAGACUGCCUGAAAUGAAGAUCCUACAAUCUGUAUCUCACCUCGUCGAUGGCGGACUCCUCAAUAAGACGGGGGGCAUCGGCAGACAGCAGCCCAUGUGUAGCCAUGAUGUAGAUCUUAUAAGCUCCUCUCUCCUUCAGAAUCUCAGCUGCUGCCACAAAGUCCUCCACGUCGUCGAUGAUGUCAUCCUGGGAAAGAACGGCAACCACGGGAUUGGAAAUUAUGUACGCCUGUAGUUCCUUCAUCCAUAAUCUAAGGCUGUCAUAUUCUGUUAUUAAAUACAAUGUGGCAAAAUGUUGCAAA